AGUUAUGAAAUUUAUUUGAGUAAAAUUUUAUAAAACAAGUGUUAUUAAAUUUGUAUUCUUAAGAGGAUUAUAUGUUUGGACAGAUUUUGAACAUUCCGAAAAUUUGAGGAAAGACAAGACACUUGUGGACUAGUGAUAUUUGAGUUCUCCGGUUGAGAAAGUUUUUUGGAGGCUCAGACAUGACCUCACCUCUAGAGUUUGAUAGCAGAUCUUGAUCCAAGAUUGAGUACUUCGUCUGCAGGCUGCCACGGUCAUCUUAUUUGUUAUUUUCCAUCUUUCGGGCAGUAAAACAUUCCUUAUUUACUUUAUUUUGGAUACCUCUUUAGACAUGAUCUUUGUUAGUAGUUCUCAUACGAUGACUUUCGGGUCUUGGGAAUUUUAGUAAGUAGUUUGUUU